AGCGAACGCUGGCGGCAGGCUUAACACAUGCAAGUCGAGCGCCCCGCCAGGGGUGCGGCAGGCGGGAGAGUAACACGUGGGAACAUACCUUUUGGUUCGGAACAACUGAGGGAAACUUCAGCUAAUACCGGAUAAGCCCUUACGGGGAAAGAUUUAUCGCCGAAAGAUUGGCCCGCGUCUGAUUAGCUAGUUGGUGAGGUAACGGCUCACCAAGGCGACGAUCAGUAGCUGGUCUGAGAGGAUGAUCAGCCUCACUGGGACUGAGACACGGCCCAGACUCCUACGGGAGGCAGCAGUGGGGAAUAUUGGACAAGGGGGGCAACCCUGAUCCAGCCAUGCCGCGUGAGUGAUGAAGGCCUUAGGGUUGUAAAGCUCUUUUGCCCGGGAAGAUAAUGACGGUACCGGGAGAAUAAGCCCCGGCUAACUUCGUG
rnacentral:rRNA from 1 species